rnacentral:rRNA from 1 species
GUAGGGAAUCUUCCACAAUGGGCGCAAGCCUGAUGGAGCAACACCGCGUGAGUGAAGAAGGGUUUCGGCUCGUAAAGCUCUGUUGUUAAAGAAGAACACGUAUGAGAGUAACUGUUCAUACGUUGACGGUAUUUAACCAGAAAGUCACGGCUAACUACGUGCCAGCAGCCGCGGUAAUACGUAGGUGGCAAGCGUUAUCCGGAUUUAUUGGGCGUAAAGAGAGUGCAGGCGGUUUUAUAAGUCUGAUGUGAAAGCCUUCGGCUUAACCGGGGAAGUGCAUCGGAAACUGGAUAACUUGAGUGCAGAAGAGGGUAGUGGAACUCCAUGUGUAGCGGUGGAAUGCGUAGAUAUAUGGAAGAACACCAGUGGCGAAGGCGGCUACCUGGUCUGCAACUGACGCUGAGACUCGAAAGCAUGGGUAGCGAACAGGAUUAGAAACCCGGGUAGUCC